UACAGAGGGUGCGAGCGUUAAUCGGAAUUACUGGGCGUAAAGCGCGCGUAGGCGGCUUUGCAAGUCGGGUGUGAAAUCCCCAGGCUUAACCUGGGAACUGCAUUCGAGACUGCAUUGCUAGAGUAUGGGAGAGGGAAGUGGAAUUUCCGGUGUAGCGGUGAAAUGCGUAGAUAUCGGAAGGAACAUCAGUGGCGAAAGCGACUUCCUGGACCAAUACUGACGCUGAAGCACGAAAGCGUGGGGAGCAAACAGG
rnacentral:rRNA from 1 species